UUAAAUUGAAGAGUUUGAUCAUGGCUCAGAUUGAACGCUGGCGGCAGGCCUAACACAUGCAAGUCGAACGGUAA
rnacentral:rRNA from 37 species